UUGUUUAGCCUGUUUAACAUUUCCAGGCAUUUCUCCCUGUGUUUGUCAUUCCCGUGUUUAAUCUUUGGACUGUGUACUCUGAUUCUCUGCUGCCUGCCCCGAUCUCUGCUUGUUUCUGGUUUCGACUCUGGUUAUCCCUAACACACACGACGCUAUUUCUGAUUUCUGCCUGACCAUUCUUAAAUAAAGCGCUGCAUUUGGAUCCAAACGUCUCUGGCUCAUCAUUACAGUGGCAAUGAACAUAAAGACAUGUCAUCCUUUGUUGAUGCUGGCAAGGAAAGCCAUUAUGAAUAAAUGGGUUGAAGAUAGCCCUCCCUUAUAUAGGGAAAGGGUAUGAUAAAAGACUUUAUAUCCCUAGAAAAAAUAAGAUUCUGUCAUAUGGAUAAACGUAUGUUAUUUAACAGAAUGUGGGAAGUACCAUAAAGAUAUUUGGGGGUUAGUGAAGAUCCCAGCAUGUUACCCAUAAUAUGAAAAAUGUAAUAUAAAUCUACAUACCCUAUAUUUGUUUAGUUAAAAUAAAUAUGGCGAUAUAAAUUG